UGCUGCAAAGGUAAUGGUUUGGCGCGUCGUUUUGACUUGUUGAAAUGUGCGAGAGAGCGAGCGACAGUUUCAGCCAUUUUGGCUUUUCCUCAAAACCAUUGCACUUCUAAGCAAGAAAGGUAAGGCAGUCAAGGCUCACAGAGGAUAGAAGUUGUCAAUGGACUUAAGAGAUAUAAUAUUCAAACACAUCAACGGAAGGAAACGGAGCGUGCUUCAGCCUGACAAGUUUGUGCCAAGUUGUACCAGUGGAUAGCGAUGACUCGUGGAAGCUAGUAAAAAGUCUGUGACUUCUAGAAGAUCCCGCUACUGACAGCCAUGACGAUUUUCGUGAACUGGAGGGUUUAUUAUGAUACGUGCGAGUCGUACAAGUUGUACACAAGUAUAAAGCUACAUGCAUAAAUUAACAUAAUGGUUAACUAUGGCGUGAAAGUCACGCAAUACAUGUCAGUCACUGGUUGUGUUACAAGCCAUUUUGGCUUUUCCUCAAAACCAUUGCACUUCUAAGCAAGAAAGGUAAGGCAGUCAAGGCUCACAGAGGAUCGAAGUUGUCAAUGGACGUAAGAGAUAUAGUAUUCAAACACAUCAACGGAAGGAAACGGAGCGUGCUUCAGCCUGACAAGUUUGUGCCAAGUUGUACCAGUGGAUAGCAAUGACCCGUGGUAGCUAG